GGAGCUGCGCGCCGGUCGGAAUCGGCGUAUUCUCCCGGAGAUUCGACGGGUGCUUGGGGGUUCGAUUCCCCCCGGCUCCA
rnacentral:tRNA from 1 species